rnacentral:lncRNA from 1 species
CAUAAAAAAGUCUUAUCAUAGUUUUUGUACAACUAUUGGUGAUUUGUCCUCCCUCACCUCUUCUAAUAAGCGUUCCUUUUCUUGUUGUUCCUUAGCAGUCAAUGGUUCUCCAAAGUCUAUCAAAAGGAAUAUAUCAGUUUGACUUAUAACUCGACCAAGCAAGUAUCUAUAUGGAAAAGAAGGCAACACCUUCAGAAUCAUCAUCAUCACCUAUUGUGUCUUUUGAUUGGUUCUUUUGAUGCACGUGCUGGAAACACAGAUGAAAAAAAAAAAAAAAAAAAUCAUAACAUGCGUAAACUAGAAUUAAAUAUCAAAAUGUUUGAAAGGAUUUAGCAUCAUUCCAUGCUGAUAUUCACAAUGAAGUAGAAACAGUAGUUGUUUGUUGAGAGAGAGGUUUAGGGAUGAUGGGGUAUGGUAAGACACUAAGAUGUAUACCAGCAGGAACAGUAAUAUUUUCGGUGAUGAUAAGCAUUUAUUUCUUUCUCUUUUUUCUUCUCAAGGGUUUCAGAUAAGGGAACAUGCAUAAUAGGCUUCACUACUAAAACAACAAAGGUGGGGGUGACUCGUGUGGAAAUAUUUCUUGUUGUGGUCUAUGCAUGCGUAUGUUGGGGUGGGGUUUGGCUGGGUAAUUGAUUGCUGUUCAGGACAAUUGAAAAAAGAUUAAUUUAAGAGUUUAUUAAAUGGAACUUGAGAGAGAGAGAGAGAGAGAAAGAACAAACCAUAAGGUACCGUACUUCUUUCUCAUAUAAUUCGCUUAAUCUCUUGGUGUUAAAAAAUUGAAAAUCGUGCCUGAAUAUUUUUUGCAGCAGAAACAAAGGUGAGUCGUUAUAGGUAAAUAGCUAUGAGAAGAGAGUGGCCGAAAAGUAUUAAGCUUACAGCUGAGGCAUGCGAGGAAUCCUAGGUUCUCUUGAUUUAGCAGGAGCACCGGCACCUUGGCGCAAUGCUUGCUUAAAAUAAUCAGUAUCCGAGUAACUAAACACAAGGAUAGAGAUCAAGGUCCCAAAACGGAUAAACAAGUAAGAAGAACCUAAAAGAAUUGUUAUCUUACUUGCGUUUCCUUUCCCUCUUUGGUGGUUCAAUCCAAUUAUCAGCGACAAGUUUCUUGAAGUCAGUUCUAUUCUCAUCCUUCACAUAAAUGGAUAAAAUAAAUAUGAAGAUAACAUCAUUUCUUAGUAAAAAAUCCAAUUACACCAGAUCUGGCAUUCAAUUCACUAGAGGUUUGAACAUGGGUAUUGCAAAGUGCAAACCUCUAAACAGCAUCGAGUCACAUAUAUAAGAAAGGUUUACCUUCUCAUCGUCAAAGUCAUACAACUGUGCACCUGCAUAGAAGACAAAAAAAUGUACAUAACUAAUCAAUUGGCUUUUCCAACGAAAGGGGUACCAGAAAACUGGAUCUACAUACCAUCAUCCAUCUUAAACUUGAUUGCAUCCUCAGUAAAUUUCUUCAUUUUGGCAUCAAGCUCUGCUGUUGCCUUCUCUCCCUUGGCGAUAAUUCGGUCAAUAUCCUCGUCUGUGAUUGUGCUGUCCUUAGAACUGAAGACCAUUUCAGCACCAAAUCUCACCAUUUGCAGUAAUUCAUCCUUAUUAACAGCUGUAGAAAGAUAUUUAUACAGAAUCAAGUAAAACAAAAACCUGCAUUUUAAGGGGGAAAAAAUUGUAUUGAAAAUGUGGGACAAUCUGCCUACUUUUCUGCUCUGCUAAUCGACCUUGUUGAAUCACCAAAGCAUCAAGUGCAAGUUUCUUAUACGCCCUCUCAAUUAUUUUCUCCUCAAUAGUAUACUGCAAUUCUCCAAAAACCUACCGUUAAGUACUCUCAUAGAAAGCAAGUAAUUCGAACAGAAAAGUGAAUGAGCACAACAGGAACAAACCUCUGCGCAGAAACGAAAUACUUGAACUUCCUUUUUUUGUCCAAUCCUAUGAGCGCGGUCUUGUGCUUGUAAAUCAACUUGCGGGUUCCUUAAAAUAAAAGGCCUUGAGAAGCAUGAUGGAUAUUUUUCAAAGAAGAGCACACAAGAGAGAAACUUUACCAAUCACUGUCAUAGAGAAUAACAACAUCUGCUGUAGCAAGGUUAAUCCCUAGGCCACCUGCUCGCGUAGAAAGCAAGAAAACAAACUUGUCACUUCCUGGUCGAUUGAAGGCUUCGAUUGAAGCAUCACGAUCUUCCCCAACAGUAUUCCCAUCAAUCCGGCAAUAUCGAUAUCCACGGAACAGUAGAUAAUCUUCUAAGAUAUCCAGAAGUCUUGUCAUCUAUACCCAUAAAAUUGCAUGUAUAUAAAAUAAAAGACAUGGCAAACAACAAGUUAAUCCGAAAAUCAGUAAAGUGCAGAUAAUAGCACAAAGUGAAAGGAAACCAAGAAUCCCGAAGGACCCCCUGAUUCUUUUUUUCUUCUGGAAAAAGAAGGGCCCCUUGAAUUACAUGUCUCCUAAAAGGACGCUUGCAAAUAUUUUCAAGAUGCGAUAUAUUGAUAAUAUUCAUUUAAUAUCAAAAACUUUGUUAAGCUUCAGUUCUGCAGAAUUAAGUGCUGGAUAGGUGCAAGAAUAUAAAAUCGAGCCUGUGAAAAUAUUAGAACUCUUGAAUCUCGUUCUUUUAACUUGCGAAGUAACUUAUCUAGAAGAACCAUUUUUCCUGCAAAAAGAACAUGCAGUCAGAAAGUAUUAAUCACUUUUGAGCUUGAAACUCAGAUACAUCAUACCUGCAUUUGUUAUUAGAUGCUCCCCAGUUGUGUAAGGUGGACCAGGUUCUGCACCUUGGAACAAAUAUGGAUGAUUACAACAUUUGCGCAGCUGCAUAGCAAUGUUAAGAAGACGCUUCCGUUCACCCCCUGCAUUUAUAAUUUCCAAAUCUUUCUGAAGCAAAGCCCGAUAAUAGUUCUUUUGCAUCUGGGACAUUCCAACUUUGAGUAUAGUUUCCUUUUUUGGAGGCAAACCCUUUUCAACAUCAGAUUUAAGCCUACGGAGCAGAAAUGGACGAAGAACCUUGAAAAAGGAAAUGAAAGAAAUGAGCAUGCACAGACAUCAUUUAUCAAAUGAAAGCAAGAAGAUUUGCCAAUAUAUAUACAAGAUAUUAAAAACUUACCUUGUGAAGCUGUUGAAUGACCUCCUGCUGAUCAUUUUCUCCUGAUAUUUUGAACCAUUCAUCAAAGGUUUCAGCUGAACUAAAUAUCUCAGGGAGGAGAAAAUUAAGAAGAGACCAUAAUUCAUGAAGAUUGUUCUGAACAUAAUUAAAAUAAGAGAAUUAAUUUUGGCCAGUCACAUAAUUUCAGCUAUACAUAAUGCAACUACAGGCUGCUAGAGGGAAAAAAAAAAAAAACAAUAAAUAAUAAAUAAAUUUGUAAAACUUGACUAAGCAAGAGAGAGUGGAUGGGCUAUAGGACAUAAUUUUAUAUUACAUCAUACUUGAUAUGUAAUAAAAUCUUCCCUGUUGGAUCAAGAAUCAAUGAGAAGAAUAAUGCAUUCAUUACCUAGUCACUGAUUUUUGUAAGAAAUAAGAUAAACUGUUCUUCAGGUAGAACUGUAGUACAAGUCGAUGAUAGAAUAUCAUAUCAAAAGAAGAAAAUGCGAUGCCAUUUAAGAAUUUGGCCCCAAAAAAAGAAAAAGGAAGGGCAUACCUGUAGAGGUGUUCCUGUAAUAAGAAGGCGAUAAUUUGUAUUGUAGAGCCUCAUUGUUUUCGAAAGAAGAGAGUUCUCAUUUUUUAUCCGAUGUGCUUCAUCAAUAAUCACAUAUCGCCAACUAAAACGUCUCAAGGCAUUUUUCUCUUUAAUGGCCAUCUCAAAACUGGUAACACAAACAUCAAACUUCCCAGCAACUAACAAAUUCUCACAAAUAUGUUUCUGCAGAAAAGGAAAAUUGCAUGUUAAGCAUUGAUGGAGGAACCCAAGCAAGAGAAAAGAAGAUGUAUAGAAGGAACAAGGUGAGGAUAAAGGUUACUGGCUGACCCUUUCAUCUCGGUUCCCCAGCAACUUUACUGCACGCAAAACAGGACAAAAUCGACGGAUCUCUUUCAUCCAGUUGCCGAGAGUAGAUUUAGGGGCAACCACUAAGUGAGGGCCUGUAAUUCCUCUAAAUUCGUGCAAAUAGCCAAGUAAGGAGAUGGUUUGCAAUGUUUUCCCAAGGCCCUAGAAAACAAAUAUUUCAAGUUGGGCAAAUAUAGUUCAAAAUUCUGGAGUGACAGAAACUAAAAAGAUGUUGUCAUCUACAUUUACACUGACACAGACUAUGAGAUGAGAUCAAAGAGAAAAAGAAAUAAGAAAACAAAGAAUGCAGACAAAUAUUGAACCACACCAUCUCAUCAGCUAGAAUCCCAUUGAUUCCAUUUUCAUACAGACGUAUCAGCCAGUUUAGCCCUGCUAGCUGGUAAUCCCUCAUUUUCCCCUGAAUACCUACAAAAGAGACACAAGGUUUGUAGACACAAGAUCACCCAAGUAUUGUGGAGGCGAAUCUUGAAGAGGAAAACAACAAUAAACUAUUGAAUGUGCAUACAAUCAGAAAAAGAUAAUAUCAUGACAAUAAAUAUUUGACUCAACUGGCAAGAAAAAAAAAUUUUUAAAAAGUCAAACUAUAGAAAUUACACAAGAAAAUAGACCAUCAGAACCUGACAUUAUGGUAAAGAAAGUUCGAAUGUAAAUCUUCCAAUAUACUUUCUCAAGGAAGAGUCAAAAAACUUUUUUUGAAACACUUGCUUUCUAACAAAUUUUUUAACCAGCACCAUUUUCAUGAUGAUCACAAUCCCCGAGCCUAUGCAAGCCUGAAUUAGCAAUGAAGUGCUGAACAGGACAAAAAUAUAAUAUCUGUGGUCUAUAGCAAGGUUAUAAGUGUGUAAUCUAAACACUAAAUUGGCCACUAAUUUCAAAUGAAUUUCUUAAAAACAGCAGAGAAUUUCAUUAGAUUGAAUAUAAAAUUUUGGAAAAAAUCAAUUUGCCAUAAAAUUUACCCUUAAUUCAGUUGAAAUCUCAAAUGCAAAUGAAUAGAUGAUGCUUCAAUUGGAUAGAUCCAUUGUUUGUUACUAUUUUCAGCAACUUUUCACAAAAUGUUUUGAUCAAUUGAAAACAAGGUUUCAAGUUGGUAAAAUAAAUAACUUACCAAACUAAUCGUCCAUUUCAUUAAAUUUUGAUCAUCCAAAUGCAUGAACAGCAAAAUAAAAGAAACAAAUUGGUAAAAUCAGUAUUUUCGCAAAUUAACUGCCCAUUUCAUCAAAUUUUGAUUAGCUAAAUGCAUGAACAGCAAAAUGAAAGAACUCAAAAAGGCAAUUUCAAAAUCUUUUAUUGAAAAAAAAUUGAAAGAAAAAUUUAGAGCCAUGUCGUCAACAUAGGAUUGUGUGUUAAAAUCGGAACGACGAAAAAUAGAUCCAAAAAAUAAUUUAAUGCAGGAAACGAAAAGAUAAGGAAAGAGCACACCGAUAUUUACGUGGAUUGGCCAACAGCCUACAUCCACGGGCGAAGACGGAGCAAAUACUUAUUAAUGUCGAAAGGCGGAGUACAAGAAAAUCUCUCAAAAGACCAAAACCUAAUUAGAUCCGAAACGCCGCAACAAACAACUCCAAAAGCGGCUUCUUUCUCAAACCCGUACAGACCAAUAAUGCCAACUCACCACCAAUGUGCAUGGCUUAAUUAGAGCUCUGCAUAAUUAAAGGCUACGGCUCCUUGCUUUGCAAUCCGCACCAUGAUGCCGUUGCUACGUAGCCUCCCUCACAAUCUCUUAGGCCCUUUAAUUUGAGCUCCUUGUUAAUUAGAGCAUGGCCUAAUUUCAGUGCACCGGCUUCAUUAAUUUUGGCCGCGGCUCCUUGACUGUACGGAACCAACAUGCAUUGCUUGGCUUAAUUAGAACACGGCAUCUUAAUUUGGUCACGGCGUCAUUAACUUGGCCGUAGCAUGUAUAUAUAAUACAUGUCUCCUAACUAGAGUCUAAUUCUAAUUCAAUUAAAAUUACACUCCUAAUUAUAAUCCAUAUAUGCCAAAUUACAUCUAAAUUAUAUAUAAUCCCAAUUAGAUUAGGAUUUAAUUCUAAUUUAGAUAACUACAAAUCUAAACCAAAUAUAACAUUGUGCAAUGCACAAUACCAUGUUUUAAUGCUACUGUGCACAGCACAUUUUCCAAUGCCGAGACAGCCACACAUUAACUACUCUAGAACUUCAGUGGAACAGUAUUUUGCUAGGGUAAAGCGCUUGAUGGUUGGUACCCGAGGUCCCAAGUCAGAAUCCUAGUUGAUUCAAAUUUCCAGCUAAGUUUAUUUCUAAAAAAAUAAACGAAGCGGGUAGCAUACUACCUUUCUCCCAAAAAAAAAAAAAAGAAGUAUUUUGCUAGGGUUCCAAGCUGCAAUGAUACUUUCUUCAAAGGCCUAGAGGUUCUGGAAGGGCAUGAAUCAUGGUAAGGAUUUACAACAGAAGUCCUAAAGGAGAGAAAGGAAACUGGAAAUAGUGCAAGGAAAAACAAGUAAAUAGAUAUUAUUGCUUUUAGAAUCCAUAAAAAUAGAUUGAUUCCGCAGCAAUUGAUGAGAAUUUGUCAUGCUAAGGGAAAGCAUACAAGAUGGCUGUGUAACCAAGCGUGUCCCUGCUGCACCAGAGAAACCACCUUCUUCCUCUCUAAGGCAUUCCUCGUCUUCUUCCUCCUCGGUAACCUUAGGUGCGUGGCGACCCCUGAAAAAUUUAUCGAAGAAUAUAGUAUAGUUUAGGACUGGAAAGAAGUUUGUCCUCAACAGAUAAGUUCUUAGAAACAUGUCUAGGAAAUAUUGAGGCAAUUAUUUCAAGAACUAAACAAAAAUUCAAAUUUAUCUCCAAUACUCAAACAUGGAAUGUUUCGGAAGAAGAAUUAUAGAAUGAAUUGCCACUGUCAAAACAUCACAAGCUACUCAAACAAUACAAUGGCAAACCUUUCUUAAAUUUAUCAUCCGGUUUUGGUUUGCUAGUACUAAAUGUGAGAUGUUAUAGAGCCCAAUAUAACAAAAUAAAAUAGUUAAUAAUUAUUGACAUUAUGUUUAUGUGGCUGACGAAUCUUAAAAGUGUCUGACAAACUAGAAGCCAGUUCCGAGGAUAUUUAAAAUAUGAAUAUAUAUAUAUAUAUAUAUAUAUAUAUAUAUAUAUAGAGAGAGAGAGAGAGAGAGAGAGAGAGAGUAGGGCUACUACACUCUUAUGAGUAUAGAGCCCUUCGUACUCAUAAGUUGUUUUCGAUGAUGGAGUUUCCGAAUCAACGAUCCAGAACGAUCCACUCCGUUAAAUAUGAUCUAAAGUAUUUGAAAAUUCUAAAAAAUAAAUUUCGUAAUUUUUCGAAAUUAUAAAAAAGCCCAUCAAGCGGGCAUAAAAUGAACAGUCAAAAUCGAACGACGUCCUAAAAAUAGAUGAUCGAAUCCUUCAAUUUAAGAUCGGAGUUAUUGAUCUUUAUCUAGAUAGUGAAUAGAAUUUUCUAUCAAAAAUUCAACCAAUUCUGAUUCUUUUACACCGUUAAACUAGCAAGUAUCCCGUACCGGCCGUUAAAAAUUGUCAAUUUUGAGAUUUUUGAUCGUAAGGUAAAUGAUGUCAAAAAAUUAUAAAAAAUUAAUUUAUAGAAGCUUUACAUAUUCUAGAUAAUGUUUAACGGUAUGGAUCGUCGAUCCGAAAGCUCUAUCAUCGAAAACAACUUAUCAGUAAGAACAAUACUUCCGAUUUGAAAUUUGAGUCUUUUAUUACUAUUUUUUAUGAGAUUUUUAUUUUCGGCCAUUCAUUUUGAGGCUACUCGUUUACUAGGCAAACGAAGUCAAAAAAUUAUGAAAUUUAAUUUCUAGAUAGUUCUAACAGUAUAGAUCAUGUCUAACGGAACCGAUCGUCAAAUCAGAUGUCCUAUCAUUGAAAACAACUUACAAGCACGGAGGCCUCCGUACUUUUGAAAGCAUAGGAACCUAGCUCUCUCUCUCUCUCUCUCUCUCUCUCUAUAUAUAUAUAUAUAUAUAGAAAGCAGAAACUCUGCUCGAGAAUAACUAAGUGCAAAUGCAAAACUGUUUUUAUACUCAGCGCACAGCCAAUAAUGAACCUACAGAACAAAUGGGUGUAAAUUAAAUUUUUUACUUGCUUUUUUUUAGCUAAUGAAUUUUUAACUAGUUGCUUUGCUUUAGUCUCUCUAAAACCUUUUUUUUUGGAGAAUUGAGAGCUUGGUCCCCUACGACUCCCAAAGUCCCUAGACCAGGAUUCCAACCCAUUACCCCCCAAGCCCCAAGCAGGUGCCUUACCAUUGGAAUACCAAUUGGUUGUUCUUCUAAACAAUUAUUAGAUGGCAAGAUAAUUCAUUUUUUUAUUUGGGGAACUUCAUUCAUUGUCAUCAUAUUUAACAAUCUCUGAAGAAAACAGCAGAAAAUCCUGCCAUCUAUAAAAGGGACAAAAAAGUAAACAAAAAGCAACACAAACUUGUCUUUAGUAAAAUACCAUUUCAGUACACAAAUGAGAAAAGUUCUUAGUAGAUUACAAGCCAAAGCCAACCAACCCAGCAAAAUAAAUAUAGAUAGGAAAAACUAUCAUGUUCAAAGUAACAUUUUGUCGCCACCCUAUUAUCAAUCAUGAGACAAAUCCCAAACUUGUCUUUAGUAAAAUACCAUUUCAGCACACAAAUGAGAAAAGCUCUUAGUAGAUUACAAGCCAAAGCAAAUCAACCCAGCAAAAUAAAUAUAGAUAGGAAAAACUAUCGUGUUCAAAGUUACAUUUUGUUGCCACCCUAUUAUCAAUCAUGAGACAAAUCCCAAACUUGUCUUUAGUAAAAUACCAUUUCAGCACACAAAUGAGAAAGCUCUUAGUAGAUUACAAGCCAAAGCCAACCAAUCCAGCAAAAUAAAUAUAGAUAGCAAAAACUAUCGUGUUCAAAGUUACAUUGUUACAUUUUGUCGCCACCCUACUAUCAAUCAUGAGACAAAUCCCAAUUUGUGUAAAGAAUGCAAGUCAAAAAGAUCUCCAAAGAACCAAGCGUCAAACAAAAUAAGAGUUAUGCUACUGAUUAACUGGUAUAAGGACAACCAGCCACUCUCUCAAAUCACCUUACUAUCAAUGUUUGCAUUUUCUUCUUUCCCAAAAUGGCAGGUAAUAGAGUAGAGAGUACAACUAAAAUAGCUUAGUAAAACAGUUACACCUUAUUAGAUCUAGGCUUGAAUUUUAGUUGCUAAGAUCUACUAUACUUACAACAAAUUUCAGUAUAAACUUGAAAUAUAGUUAUCACUAAAAUAUGAAAGACGUAUGAUGAAGGUAAUAGAGUAGAAAGCACCAAUAGAGUAGCUUGCUAAAACAUUUACACCUCAUUAGAUCGCGUAUAGGCUUGAAAUCUAGCUGCUAAGAUCUGCUACACUUAUGACAAAGUUAAGCAUACACUUGAAAUCUAGUUAGUACUAAAAUCUGAAUGACAUAUGAUGAAGUUAAGUCCUAAAGUGCCAAACAUUAUCACAACAAAAAGAAGACAGCAAUAACUUUCCUGAUGGAAGAAAACAUGCAUCACAAAGAAUGUGGUAUACCUCCCUCUAGAUUUCCUUUCUGAAGCAAAUUGGGAUCCCUUUGCAAAGUGAGCAAAUAUCUCUGUCUGUUGCAGCAAAUACUUAAGCGGACCUUUCCCUUUAUUGUUCUGACAAUGUAUCACUGGUUAGUUAUGGCAGAGUUAAUACAAGACUAAACGGCAUAUAUGCAAAGCAACAAACAAGCAUAAAUGCACUUGGAAUGUAAUAAAAAACAUAACAUUCAAACUUAUCGCAAGAGAUAGAAUACAAACACCUACCCUUGUCCUUUGUUUAUGGGGUAUUUAGAAAAACCCCCUUUAAAAUUUAGAAACUACCAUUGCUUCUAUUUAUGGUGUGCUUUUAUCCACGGAGCAUUUACAUACAUACAUACAUAUUUAUAUAUAUAUAUAUAGAGAGAGAGAGAGAGAGAGAGUAGGGCUACUUUACUCUUAUGAGUAUAGAGUCCUUCGUACUCAUAAGUUGUUUUCGAUGAUGGAGCUUCCGAAUCGACGAUCCACUUCAUUAAAUAAGAUCUAGAGUAUUUGAAACUUCUAAAAAAUAAAUUUCGUAAUUUUUCGAAAUCAUAAUAAAGUCUAUCAAGCGGGCAUAAAAUAAACGAUCAAAAUCAAACGAUGUCCUAAAAAUGGAUGAUCAGAUCCUUCAAUUUAAGAUCGGAGUUAUUGAUCUUUAUCUAGAUAGUGAAUAGAAUUUUCUAUCAAAAAUUCAACCUAUUUCAAUUCUUUUACACUGUUAAACUAGCAAGUAUUCCAUACUAGCCGUUAAAAAUUAUCAAUUUUGUGACCUUUUGAUCGUAAGAUACAUGAUGUCGAAAAAGUAUAAAAUUUAAUUUCUAGAAAUUUUAAAUGCUCUAGAUAAUGUUUAACGGUAUGGAUCGUCGAUUCGGAAGCUCUAUCAUCGAAAACGACUUAUGAGUACAAAGGCGAUCGUCAAACUGAAUGUUUAUUCUUUCGUUCAAGUGGUAUCUGUUCAAUGUAAAAUUUGUACAUUAUCUGUCUUCCAAAUUCUACAAAUUAGAAUGUUUAUUCUUUCGUUCAAGUGGUAUCUGUUCAGUAUAAAAUUUCUACAUCUGUCAAAAUAGCUGUUAUACCCCUUCAAGUAUGUACACUAAUAUAAGGGGCUGAAUUUCCCAAAAAAAAAUAAUAAUAACACAAGGAGUUGAGGUACCAAAUUCUACUAAUUGUGUCUGUUUCAGUAAUUUGCACAUUAUCUGUCAAAAUAGCUGUUAUACCAUUUCAAGUACGUACACUAAUAUAAGGGGUUGAGUUUCCCAAAAAAAAUAACAAUAAUACAAGGGGUUGAGGUACCUAUUAAGUAUGGAUGAAAGGCCUAAGGUUCAGCAUCCAGAUGACAGCAUAGGAGAUUAAGUCGUAUCCAAAUUGUUUUAGAUAGGCAUAUUUAAAAGGUUAAAAGUGGUUAUUUAAGUAGGUAAUAGGAAACUUCAAAAUGCUAAAUUGACGCUAGGCAUGAAAGGGAUUAGGACUUUAGAUCUUAAACUCAGCAAGAAGAUAAGCAUGCUGAGCUUGAUUGCUAGGAAACUUUGUAUGAAAAGAGCAUCCCAAUACAGUAAGGUUGUUCACGGCAAUAUUGAUUGACAUUGUGCAGAAAAUGAAGAAUAGAUAGAGAACAUCUAGAUGACUAUUUUAAAGCUUGCACUUAAGAGUAUAGAAUAGGUCACUAGAAUUUCGUUUUAGUAAAAUAAUAUCAACCAUGGCUUCAUCAAUUGCUGCAUUUUGGGCAGCCAGUAUUUCGUCAAUCUUUUGCUUCUUCUGCCUCUGCAACUCUCUUAGCCUAGCUCGUUCACGCUUUCCCACAUCCGCAUUUGAAGAUGGGUCCUCAACCUGCAUAAAUAUUACGACAAUCACUCCAAUAUAUCCUGAACACUUAAUCAAGCUCAAAUCGUUAAAGAAAAAAAAAAUCAGAAUACUUUUUUGUGAGUUCUUAAUUAGAAAAGAUUCAAUUUAAAUAGAAAAGGAAAGACCAUCUAUGGCAAAGAAGAGGGAUAUGUGAUGAUACGAAACUGGAAGAUUUGAAUGCUGCAGUAUAAACUAGUGAUAGAAAAGUGACAUGCAUGCACCUCCAUCCAUAAUUAGAAAAAGUAAUCAAGAGUAAACAAAUAUAAUACUACCAAAAAUCAAUAAAAAAAAAGGGCUUUUUUUGCAAAUAGCCCCCUUACAAUUUUUUUUUUAAAAAUUGGCUCUGUCAAAAAUUUAUUUACAAAAAUGGCCCUGGCCCCGCCACGCAAGCGCCACGUCAGCGCCACGCGGGCGGGGCUGGGACAGAUGGUUAAGUGAACACGGUGAAUCAUUCACCGUGUUCAAUACAAAGUUUUUGUAUUGGACACGGUGAAUGAUUCACCGUGUCCAAUACAAAAUAGCUAAGAUCGAAAUAUUUGUAUUGGACACGGUGAACCAUUCACCGUGUCCAAUACAAAUAAUUGGACACGGUGAAUGGUUCACCGUGUCUAAUACAAAUACCUCCAACUUAAUCAUUGUUGGGGUAUUUGUAUUGGACAAGGUGAACCAUUCACCGUGUCCAACUUAAACACCUGGGCCCGCCCUGCCCGCGUGGCAGGGGCAGGGGCAGGGGCAGGGCCAUUUUUGAAAAUAAUUUUUGGACGGGGCUAUUUUUGCAAAUAAAAUUUGUCAGGAGGCUAUUUGCAAAAAAAGCCAAAAAAAAAAAAGGAGAAACAUUAAAAGCUUUCAUGUACAUAGAGAUAGAUUAUCAAAAACCAUACUUACCCAGAAAAAAAAAAAGAGGUUUUGGAACCGAUUCUCAACAUUAAAGAAGCAGCAUUUGGCAACUUCAGCAGAGAAGCACAACCAAACGAGCCAAACAAAAACCCUAAAGCAACGAAAACACCCACAAUCCACGAACCUACAUAGACAUGGAUUCUUCUUCUAGCUCGCUAAAGAGCAAAUACCAAUUUAAGCAAACGCCAUUACCGAUUAAACCAACGAUCGCCAUCAUUUACCUCAUCACCAUCACCGUCAUCAUCGUUCAUCGGUUCAUCGUCCUCGGUGGAGGAUCCACCAUCAUCUCCGCCGCCCUCGCCAUGGCCGGGGCUCGCCAUUCUCGCCACCAACUCCGGCUCCCGAUCGUCGUCGCCAUCGCCACCCUCUUCCUCCCCCGCCGCCGCCCCGCUCCUCCCCUCAUCAUCGUCGUCGUCCUCGUCGGAGGGUACGGAGCCGUAGGGCUUCUCCUCGGCGAGAUCGCCGGGAUCGGAGGGCUUGGCCAUGGCCGAGAGUGGUCGGAGAGGGCGAGGGUUUUGGCGUCGCACGAAGAAAAGGUGUGUAGAGAGAGAGAGAGAGAGAGAGAGGUGUUUGGAGCGAACAACGAGGAAGUGCGUGAGAACGCGAAGGGGCUCGCACGUGUGGGGAGUUGUUUGUACGCGUGUGAGCGGAGAAUGGGAAAGGGUUCCCGCCAAGCGCUUUAUAUAUAUUUAUUAUUAUUUACUAUUCUAUACAAUUUCAAAUAUGCCCCUAAAAAUUCAUAUAAUGUUACAGGUGCCCUCCAUAAUUAUUAAUAUCAUUUUUGUCCCCGUAAAGGCCUAAAUUAAUAAACUAUAUAUGAAAAAUAUCCUUCAUCACAUUGACUACAAAUUUUCUCCUAGUUAUACCUAAUUAUAAAGGAAAAUGCUAUAAAGAUACACCCCACCAAUCUAAUUAGUGGGAUGAUUUAACUAGUUACCUGACUAGCGAUUCAAGCCAGAAACGAACCCAGGAUUCAAUCACGAGUGGGCCAAAAUAUGUUCAAAUAAAAAUUUAGCAGAUAAAUAAAAUUUUAACUACUCAAAUUUUUAAUUAAAAAAUUUAGUGAUUAGAUAAUUAAUGUUAAAAAAUAUUAAAUUUAUUUUUUUAAUUUACACUUGCUUAACUUCUAAUUAUUUUAUUCGCAUUAUUCUAUUUAAAUAACUUAAGAAUUUUACUGAAUCUAAUAGUAAUUUAGUUAGAAUUUAAUUUUUUAAAUUUUUGUUAAUAAAAUAAUAACAACCAAUGACUAAUAUCUAACAAAGCUAUUAAAUUUAGCAUACUAUUUCAUUUAGUUAAAUAAAUUAGCUCAUCAAAAAUAAUUAGAAAAUUAAUAAUGUAUAAAUAAAAUAUUUAAAGUUGAAAGGACUUAUUUCAAAAUGCACUAUAAUUAAGAGAUUCCUAAUAUAUUUUCACCUAUAAAACACAUAAGAAAAUAAAGAGUUCUAUGCUAGCACUAAAAACUUUUACAAGAUCGGUUCAUAUAUUUUAAAAAUUAACUAAAAAUUUAUAAGUCAUCAAAGAAUUAUAAAGUAAAUAUUGAAAAGUUAAGAGGGGCCAUGGCCCCUUUGGAUCUAUGCAUGGCUCAGUCCCCAAUUCAAGCCCACCUAUCAGAUAGAUCGGUAGGAUAUAGAAUAUACACCCCUGUCGGGAUGGGGCUUUUUUAUAAAAUGACCCUCCAGAAAUUCGAUUUUGGUAAAAUAAUCUUAUCAAAAUUUUAUUUAUAAAACUAACCUUCCUUUCGCCACAGGAGCGCCAUGUCAGGGAUUCCUCAAAAAAACGGUGAAUCGUUCACUGUCUUUGUAAUUUUUAUUGUAAAAGCGAUGAAUGGUUCACCGUCUUUAAUACAAAAUUUUUCUUUCCGUCUUUUCCCCUUUCCGCCCUCUCAAGUCCGCCGUUUCUGUGCCCUCGAGAAGACGGGAAACGAUUCACCGUCUUAUCAAGGACACCAUAUUAUGGAUUUGGAAAGAUUUGCGCAGAGUAAGGAUUUGUACUAAAGAUCGUGAAUGAUUCACCGUCUUAUGAAGACGGUGAACCAUUCACCGCCUUCACAACAAAUAUCAAAGACUGUGAACGAUUCACCGUCUUUUUGAGGAAUUCCUGACGUGGCGCCCACGUGGCGAGAGGAGGGUUAGUUUCACAAAUAAAAAUUUUACAGGGGUAGCUUGGCAAAUACGAAAUUUCACAAGGUUAUUUUCGAAAAAAGUCCGUUAGGAUGUAUAUGUAGCAUUGCUUAGGGAUAAUAUCUAAUAUAUACGUUUCAAAACUUUUGAAAUAUCUUAAAUAUUUGUAUUUUUUUGUUUCAAAUAUAACUCUCGUAUAUUUCUCUGUUAUUCAAAGAUAAUUUCACUGUUAAUAUAUGUUAAGUCAUCUCGGGUUUAAACUCGAGUUAAAUUUCUACCGGAGUUAAAAAGAAAUCAAAAUACCUCCUUUACUCAUAACUCAAGAAAAAAUAAGAAAAAUGGGUGACAAUUAUUACUUAGCCGUUCACUAACAUAAUUCAACUUUAGAGGUAUAUUUGAAAUGACUUGAAAUGUUAAAAGAAAUUUUUUAAAAUAUUAACCUUUUAAGAGAGAAAUAAAAAAAUUAUAAUUUUUUUAGGGAUAAAUAAGCUAUUUCUCCUUACAAAUAAUUGUGUUGUAUCCUAUAGGGCUAAUAAAUUUAUUUUUCAUUGAAAAAGAACUCUGUUUUAUUUAUGAUUCAAUUUGCAAAUUUUUUUAUCAUAUAGUUCUCAUGUUAAGCAUAAUAAAUAAUUAAUUGAGGCUAAAAAUAUAUUGUAAUUUUGGUGUGAAUCAAUUUUCUUCUUUGUCCAAAUUAAUAUGAUUUUUUUAUUUACUAUUUAUAUGGUGUAAUUUGUUGCAAUUAAUUAGUUUUAAUUUGAUAUACUUUAGUUUAGGCAAUUUUGAAAGGGACCCUUUACUUUGUUUUUAAACUUUUUUGAAAACAAUAACUCGGCAAAAGAGGGGUUAAAUCUCUAUAACACCUCAUUCAGGGGGUUGUAGAAUUUUUAAAAAUUUUUAGUAAAAACAAAGUAAUGAAAUAAGGGUAAAAAAUAGGUGUUUUUCCAUGAAAAGUGUCGUAAAAUUACAGCCAAAAAUGGACUUAGGUGUAGCACACAUCACUUUUCUUUUGAUUUAGACCCUUUCUAAUUUUUUUAAGGCAAAAGUAUAUUUCUAUUUUUUCUAAGACCCACUCAAAUUCAAAUUAUUUUGAAUUAAGUAAAGUUAGUCAAAAACAAAAUCCCAAAUUUAAUGACUACAAUCACUUUUUUAACAAAUAAAACUAGAUCAAAUAACAAUUAAUAACUCAUUGAGUUAUUAAAUUUGAUUAAAUUAUAACUUAACUAAGUAUAAAAACUCAAAUAAAAAAAAUUAAAAGGCGAGUGGUCCCAAUGAAAAAAAUUAAGGAGGCUAUUCAAAAAAUUAAGGAGGCUAUUCAGAGACUGAAGUACAAUAUAUAUACAAAAAUUUAAAAAACAUUCAAAUUCAAAGCAAGAUAAAUGAACCAUUAUAUGAAUCACCUUCUGCUCUUUGGGACGAAAUAAAAAAGAAUUUAUUUUUAUUCUAUUUUGUGCCCUCUCUUAUUGCUCUAUUCGGAACUUCGGAACUGGACGAGAAAGAAUUUUCUAAGAAUCGGUGUGAAUCAAAGAAAGAAAGAGAUCUUCAGCCUCUCACUCUAUUUUCUUAGUCAAUCGGAAUGGACCGGGGAUGAUUUUUUUUUUUUCUUUUUAUUUUUAACCCCAACGUACUGCCUCAUUUGGGAAAGAUCGAAGCAGGAUGUCACAGACUUAAGCUAAAUCACUCCUCUAGUCCGUGUGGCAUUCGCCUUCCUUUGCGAAGUGAGCAAGCCUAUUUCUCUACUUGCUGAGUCAGAAUCUACUAGUUCUAAGACUAAAUACAAGAGAGAGUGUUUGAGGAAACUAAGUACUCCGCUACUUAAAAAAAUAGGACUAUAAUAUGCCUCUUGUGUCUCACCUCUUACUCUCUCCUUUUUGCAUAUUUAAUCGUGGGGCGCGGAGGUCCAGACUAAUAACAAGGAAUUAGGCUCGCCCAUCUUCGAGCAGGAAAACUAUAUAACACUAUUAACGGUAUGUCUCGUUAAACCUCCUUUACUAGUACUAUACAAAUUGUACGAAUUUUGAAGUGAUCCAACGGCUAAAAAUCACAAGCACAGAUGUUUCCAUGCUUUCAAAAGCACCGGAGCUCAACUCCAUAAUGUACACUGUAUUGAACUUACAGAGAUAAUUUUAGUUCCUGCUCCCAAAUGGUUCCAUUAAUAAUGCAGACCCUGGAAAAAUUAGAGAAGUUUUCGGACAUCAACAGCAGUCCCAAAGCAGAAACGGCAGACUGCAGAAGAUGGUUCUGGGCAAUGUACAGACUGUAAUACAUAGCAAUUGAAUCACAAGCAGCAAUUUGCAGAGCUAGUUAUCUCAAUCUGAAAAUUUCAGAGAAGAAUGAACAAAAGACAGAUUCAUAGAAGAUUGAGCAAACAUAACUUCAGUAUGAUCAGAAAACAUGCCGAAAAAUGAUCACAUAAUGAUAAUAUCGGUAAUAUGUAAAGAACGCUGUGGACUGUAUGGACAAAAAUAGCAAUUGUUCAAACGCCACUCGGCCUUCAGAAAACCCUAAAUACAAAAGCAUAGAUCUAAAACUGUCUAAUGUAGUUCUCCAUUUUUUAAAAAAAAUGCCCCUUUUUCCCCCCUUCUCUUACAAUAACCAUUCCCUCUAUAGCCAAAUGAUCUACAAGGAGGCUUCGCAAUCCAAUGCAGUUACAAAAUUCAAAUAUCUAUCCAGGGAUAAGAUAUAUCCUUAAAGAGCAUUCAACCCGAAUCUCAUGGAAGAGAACUGUGAAGCAGCAUCGACGGCCGAAACAGAACUUCCGCCUUAUUCACGGACACUAACCAGGAAAAGUAGAGAUUUAUAUAUAUUUUGACUUUGGCUCACGAAUUUCCAACCCAUAACUCAAUUCUCCGAUGCGACCCACUCAAUUCUCGAGAAGCUUCUCCAUCUUUAAAUACCUUUGACUACUCGUUCGUACUGUCAAAGCUACCUCGCGUGUUAGCCUGCUUCCUCUCUCUCCAAUUCUCGCCCCAUAGUUUGGCCUCCGCAAUAGCCCGCUGCCUGUCAGAAUUUCUUUGUGUCUCUCUGUUCUUUCGUGCGUGAACUGGACUUCCAUACUGAAAUUCCUGCAUUUCUGAUUCAUCUAAGCCGCUUUUCCUUCCAGAAUCCGCUCCAGAGUUUGCUCCUUUAAGGGACUCCUUCCGCCUCAAAUCAGGUGAAUUAGGGUUCGGAGAUUGGACGGAGUUUUGGGCGUCAGGCAAACGGAUGCUUCUCCUGUCCUCCCGGACCCUCGGAAUAGACGGGCCUGAUCGAGUGCUUUGUACGGAAGCUGCAUUUGGGUUAUGGGUUUGAGAAGCAAGAUAAGAAAGAGCUGUUACGACGUCCCCUAUGAGAGGUCGAGUUGCCGCUUGCUCUUGCAAACACAUUGCUGCAAUAGCUAAAGCUUGAUAUAGUCCCCUCGAAGGAAAGCGGUUUUGGAGCAAUGGAUCAGCCAUCUUGGGGAACUUCCUUCGGUCCUUGAAUAAUGGACGGGCCUGCAGAUCAGAUCAAAGGAAAGGCAUGGUAACUAUCAAUGGUUGGAAUAUGGAAACAGAAAAGCCAGGAAUAUCUAUCUUUUUAUGUCAACAGAGUCUCAAGAAUUAUCCUUCAAUGUUUAUGGAACCAUGUUGUUGAGUUUUUUGUGACUUGCCAGGUACCUACUUUAAAAAAACUAUUUGACCAAUCAAAAUUUGCAAAAUCUUUCACUAUAUGUGAAAGUAUUUCCAUUUAUACCUGCAACAUACCCUUGGAUGUAUAUCUGCUUUAGUGUCAAAAUUUGCAUCUAUAUUCUUAAUAGUAAUCCAUAUUUGCAUCGAUGUCCAUCAAAGCAAUUUUAACUAUACAAUGCAUGAUAAUUAAGGUACAAAGCAUAAUAACCAGCAUAACCUUCAAACAAUUUUUUUUGCAAAUUGCUCUCUAUAUAUUGAUGGUUAACUCAGCAUCUAUCACGGCACCUUUGGGGCAUUCAAGUCAAUUUACAAACUCCAGCUAAAAUUAACUAAAAUUGCCUCUCUAUAAUUCUGUUUUUAUGCGAGGGAAUAGGAGCAAAUUUAUGCAGUUUAUGGGACAACACUGCAACAAGACACUUUUAGGGGUUUUACAAGCAAAUACAUGCAUUUUUAGGGUAUAUGCGCAAAAAUCCUUAUGAUAUAAUGUAUGUCAUGGUCUUGCAGAAACAGCAUAGUGGUAAACCACUUUGUCGAAUUUUUAAACAAGUAAGAGAAAUACAGAGCAAACUUACCCAUGCAACAAGAUUUUGCUCUCCAGCAGGCCGAGUGUUAUCAAUUGCUUUCCGCCCCGUGAUGAGUUCAAGGAAAACCACACCGAAACUAUAAACAUCAGAUUUAACCGUUAGCUGCCCAGUCAUAGCGUAUUCAGGAGCACAGUAGCCAUAUGUUCCCAUAACCCGGGUAGAGACGUGAGUCUUGUCGCCAACUGGGCCGAGUUUUGCAAGCCCAAAGUCUGAUAAUUUUGGAUGAAAACCCUCACCAAGAAGGAUAUUUGAUGAUUUGAAAUCUCUGUAAAUAACAGGGGGAUUCGCCUUGUCGUGAAGAUGUUCUAAGCCCUUAGCUGCACCUGCAGCUAUCUUCAUACGUGUAUUCCAGUCGAGAGGUUCCUUGUCGGGUGGAAGAUCUAUGGGAAAAUGCAGUUCAUCGGUCAAAUAUUUCAUAGCGGUGUAUGAUUAUGGAGUUAAAUGUACACGGCAACAGAUCCUUGAAAAUCAAAAAUCAAAUGAAUGUAGUUCUUCUCUGAUUUGAUAAGGAGAACAAAAAAAUUGUGCUUUAUUGCAGAGGGAUCUGGGUAAAUUCAGGACAUAAGCAAUUGACAGACAACAAACAUGUAUUGCAGAGAAGGGGGGGAAAAAGGGAAUAAGAAGAAGAAAGAACCUUACAUAGGCCUAACUUAGUCAUGGACCAGAUUUCUCCAAGUUUCUAACCCUUCCUUUUUAAAGAGAGAACUAUAAGAGUUUGAUCAAGGCACAUCAAGUUAUAAAACAUCUGAACAGGCACUUCAAUUGCCAAAUUAUCAUUGUGUCACAUACGAAAUAAAACCAAAAUGAGCAAAAUUCAAUAUGAUUAAAGGUGAAAAGGAACCUACAAAUUAUCAUUGGGUCACACACGAAAAAUGAGCAAUUUUCCUUGGUUAAAGGUUUAAAAAGAAGACCUCUAAUCACAUAUAAAACCGAAAUUGAUUUCUUGGCAGCAGAAAGUUCAACAAAGCAACACAUCAUCUACAGUUUGUCUUCGUAACAUAUAAGUCUACUAACACCACUCAAGUAUGGGGUGUGAGAAGAGAAUGUUAAGGUGGACCUUAAGGCUCUGUUUGGAUGUUAGAAUAAGCCGUACAAAAAUUUUCUAGUAUGACAGCAAGGAGUUUGAUUUUUUGCAUCUUCAUAGGUCUUGUUAUCCAUGAUUUGGGAGGUGAGGUGAUUUAUCUUAUCUAAAAAAUGAUUUAAAGGUCGAAUAUAGUAUCCAAUUUAAAUAUUUGAUCACACUCCUUAUCAAUCAAACAUACAAAUUUCUUACAUAAAUUAAGGGGCACCGAACAAGAUAUUCAUGCAUCCAAACAUGGCGUAAGGUGAAUGAGAUAGGAGGCCAGAAACUUGAAAAAUGGUCAAAAGUGAUUAGGAAAGAGUUAGCAUCAAUUUAUUCAAUGGAAGAGUGAGGAUAUAACUAAAAAUCAAAUACUUUGACAAAAGAAAAUUCAUGUGACUGAUACAACAAAGUUUCUUUACUUUCAUAAUUUCCUAUGGCUGACUCUCUACCCACCAGUAGGUGGCAUGUUUUAUGAUUGGUAGUUCUAGCAAAUUGACACUGUAAAAAAUUGGUGAACUUCUCCAUCAACAAGCAACCAGUUAAAAUAACAACACAGCAUUCGCAGUUAUCAUUGUCAGACCUAGUUUUAUAACAUAUUAAAGUAUAAUAUAUCCAAACUACAACACUCAAAAAAACAUGGUUAUCUUAAAGUAUUGGCCUUGUUUGUUCAGGUUAUAAGCCAAUUCCAAUUACUCAUAAAUUAAUUUCCAUUGCACAUAUCUUGAGGUCAAAGCAUUGAUCAAUUUAAGUGCAUUUCUCAUAUAGCAUAAUUGCCCAUCGUAAUGACAUGAUUUCUAAGAGCUAUCUUUUACGUUUAAGGAGUUAUAAUAAAAAGCAACUGCAAAAGUAGAAGAAACUUUCAAGCAGAGGGAAAAUAUAGGAUCUAACCAUGCAGGUGAUCUUCUAGCGAUCCCAACGGCAUAAACUCAUAAACAAGAAGGCGUUGAUCACCGUCCGCACAAUAACCUAUAAGGUUGACUAGAUUCGCAUGAUGCAAGAGACUCAGCAUAAGGACUUCCACAAGAAACUCUCUAUUUCCUUGAAGGCCGUUUCUAUCAAGCUGUUUUACAGCAACAACCUGCUAAAUGAAAUAUAGAACCCAUUAGUCAACACCUACAAUUUAGAACUGGCGUGUCACCAAAAACAUGUAUAGAUUUAUAUAAACCUAGUUUUGAAAUAUAUCUUAUAUUUGCUAAAUAACAAGUUCGCUAUAGCGUUCACAUAUAGAAUGUGAAAAGUUAGGCUUCACCAUAAAUUAAAACCGAGACAAAAACCAUGCAGAAAACCAAUGUUAGAAAGGUUUCAACCUGUCCGCCCUCCAAACGCCCUUUAUAGACACGGCCGAAACCGCCCUCGCCCAAGAGGCAAUCUUGCCGGAAGUUCUUCGUGGCGGCGGCAAGCUCCCGAAAAGUGAAAGUUUGUGCGGCAAUAUGCGCCGUACUUUCCUCUUUUUGGACCGAUCCUUCCUUCUUGGAGUCCGAACCGUUCCGCGACUUCAAUUUAUCUAACGCCGACAAGCAAUUUUACAUUAAGAAGUAAUCUUAAUAGAACAGUGCAAAGAACUUAUAAAGUAAUUGCUCUUCGACCUUCCGAACACCGACACUUGAUCAAUGCAACAGUAAAAACAAUCUGAAUCAUGGACACUGCUAUACACCGUAGAGAUUUAGAACUUCUUUUUCAUCCUAUUUAAUCCAAUGUAUGAAGAGUUAAAUUAGUUUGGGUGAUGUAAUUUGAUCAUUACUCCCCUACUAUACACUAUUUCUAUAUCAAACCAUCAAUAUAGCAGCAUUAAAAGCUAUAAUGACUAGAGCUACAUAUUUCUAUUCUUAGUAAACAAGAUCCACUUAUAUAUGAAUACUCUGAUCUCGAUCAACACAGAAAAUUAAAGUAAAAUUUUGCACAAAAUAUUUACGCAAAGAGAAAAGAGAUCAGUUUGAUUCACUCAAAACUAAGAUCUCAAUUCCACAGAUCAAACUCAAAAAAAAAAAAAAAAAAAAAAAAAGUCAGCUGAUCAGAACUAAGAAAAGCAAGCGUUCCAAGCUCACAUUAGCCAAAGGGGCAACCAAAAAUUCCCCCAAAAAUCCAAUUUUUAACUGAAGAACCCUCACAAAUCCAAUUUUUAAUCGGAAAAAAGGGAGCAAAAUCCAAUACCCGAGCUGAUCCUCGACAUGUGGCGAGACGAUGGCGCCGCCGACGCAUCCUUCUUCACAUCGCCGCUCCCUUUCGCCCCACCCUUCCCCUCCUCCCCCUCGUGCGACGAUCCAAAGCAUGGGAAACAACCCAUCCCAAAAUUCGGAGCAAAACCCACCAAAAAUCCACCAAUUUGAGCCAAAUUUGGGCCAAAUUUGAGCCAAAUUUCACCACCACUCCUCGAUUCCUCCCAAUCACAUCAACGAUUCGGAAAUCAGGGAUCGAAUCAAAGAAGAAAAAGGGAAAAAUUUGGGUGUAAAGGUCACAAAUUGGCGUGUGUGCGUGAGAGAGAGAGAGACAGAGAGAGAGAGAGAGAGCAAAAUAGGGAGAUGGUAACAAUAAUGAAAAAGGGAUGAGUAAAUAAAUAAGAGAGAGAGAGCGUAAAAAAUAAAAUAAUGUACGGAAACACCCUUAACUAUAACAUAUUUGGAAAUGUGCCCCUCAACGUUAAUUUUAGUUUUUGGUAUUUAAGUAACUAUUAUAGCCAAAAAAAUUAUAAAUUUUAUAAAAUUUAUUGGUAAUUCAACUAAAAUAAUGUACGGAAACACCCUUAACUAUAACAUAUUUGGAAGAGAAACUCUCAACGUUAAUUUUAGUUUUUGGUAUUUAAGUAACUAUUAUAGCCAAAAAAAUUAUAAAUUUUAUAAAAUUUAUUGGUAAUUCAACUAAAUUUGAUAAAUCUAUUUUUUUUAAUAAAAUUUAUAAUAACUAAGUAUGAAAACUCAAAUAAAAAACGUUAAAGUUGAGAGUUUCUCUAUUAGAUUUGAUAAAAUAAAAAAUUCCAACAAAAAGGUCUUUCAACAAAAAGCUGAGUGUCCAUUUCAAAAUUGUCUAUAGUUAAGGGGCUAUCCAUACAUUUUUACCAAAAAAAAGGAAAGUGAAAAACGUAAGCGGUGGAAAACAAUAUUGGAAUCCUAAAAGGAAUCGGUUUGUAAUUGUUUUCAUUUCCUUUUUAAAUUCAAAAAUAUUCAAGGGGGUUAUUGAGUUUUCUUUUUCUUUUUAAAUUAUUUUCAUUUAUUUUAGGCACCUUCUAAUUAUAAAUAUUUAAAUUAAGUAAUUUAGUCAAUUAAACUAAAUUUCAUCUGUUACCAAUAAAACUGAAAUAAUUAAUAAAUAACAAUAGAUAAUAAAAAUAUUAAUUUUAAUAAAAAUUUUUGCUUAAUAGCGAAUAAAAUAGAAUAAUUGAUACCGAAAAAUAUACAAAUUGUGAAAUAUCAAUUAAAUUAAAAAGUUAUUUGAGAGGGCCUAAAUUUAAGAGAUUCUUAAUACAUUUUUACAUGAAAAUAUAUUCCAUAAAAACUAUUUUGGAAAGAUAUUUUUCCUUGUAAUAAUGUGGUAUCGCGACUUCGCCACUAUACUUUUUACUAAUUAUAUAAAAAAAAAAAAGUACUCUUAACUUUUUCUGCAAAAAAUUCUCAAUAGACUAUUGGUACAUUGACAAAUUAAUAUAGAAAAUUAAUAUUGAGUAUGCGGAUUAGUCGCGAACACCAUACAAAAAAUAAUAUUUUGGAGAAUCUACAGUAAUAUUUUUUGCUUAUCUUACACUUCAAACUCAAUAUUUUUUGAAUUUUUAGUCAUUUUAUCAGAGAAUUUGAUAGUUUAAUACUCAGGAUAAAAAAUGUUAUCAUUAUGUGCAUAGAGUUUCGAGAUUAAAAUAUUUUAACGACAAGUGCGGGGACUGAGUUGCAAACGUAGGAAAAAUAUAGGGACCACCCUCAACAUUAAUUUUUUUUGAUUAUAAUUGGAAAUUAAGUAAUUCUAGUAAAAAAGUAAUGACUUAUUAUUGGUGAUUUUACUCAAUUUAACGAUUUUAACCACUUUUUAGUAAAAUAAGUAUAUUAGUUAACACUUAAUAACUAAUCGAAUCAAUUAAAUUUGAUACAAUGUUUAAUGUAACUCAGCACAAAAACUCAAAAAAAAAAUUUAAAAAAAAGGAACCAAAAAAAGUAAAAGUUGAGUGUAUAAACCAAAACAUGGAAUAAAUAGGUAAAAUAAAUUAUAAAAAUUUAAAAAUUUAAUCUAUUAAGUGUAAUGCAAAAAAUUAACCCACGACCUUAUAAAACGGAGGAAUUUAUAUUUAACUCCGAUAAUAAUUAGUCAAAAGAUCACUUUUGUACAAAAUAGGCUUAUAAUUGUAUAUUAAUAUUAAUGGAGGGUCUUUUUCAAAAGGUUUAUUAUAUUGAGGGUUUCUCCAUACACUUUUACCUAAAAAAAUUUUCCUUUUUUUAAAAAAAAAUAAAACCUGUAGGAGGAUGUGCAAGGUAGGUAUUACCUGGGAAGUGAACAUCCCUAAGUCAGCGAUUUGGUUUGAAUUUGGUUUCAAAUUUAUUUUAAGAUAAAAAAUAUACAAAAUUUAUCUGAAUUAUAAACUAUUUUGAGUCAGCUGCUCAGCCAUUCAAAAUUUUAAUUUUACUAUCCGAACUUUCAAUUUGUUUGAUUUGAAUCAGAUAAUGACAUUUUAACUUCAAAUUUUUGAAUGUGUCAUUUAUUUUCACAGGUUCUUGCAACUAUAAAGUUAAUUAAAUUAAGUAAUUAAUUUAAUAUUUAAAGUCAAAAUAUUAUUGACAAACUCAAAUAAAAUCAAAAUUUUGAAAUGUUGAGUAGCUGAUUCAAAAUAAUUUAUAGUUCAAAUAAGUUUUGUACGUUUACUUGCUCUUACAAAAAUUAUUCUAAAUUAUGGCAAAUUAAGUUAGAUAACACCCCACUAAUAUUUCCAAAUAGAGAAUCAAAUUUGGAGAAUUCCAAAAUUAAAAAUGUAUAUGGAAAUUUUUGUUUUACAAACUUUGAUAAUUGACUCAAACCAAAAUAUAUCUAAAAUGAUUCAACAUUAAUAAAGUUAGGUUUACUCAAUUUGUUAGCUUAGUGAUAUGUAAGUUUGAUUAAAAAAAAAAAAAAAAAAAAAAAAAAAAAAAAAAUCUUACCCCAAUGCCACGUACUCCUAUUAUUCAGUUUAGGAAUGCAAACGUGUCAAAUCUGUCGGUAGGAGACUGGCCCUGCCUUCUGACAGGGUGAAAUAUAUAUCCCAUAUCUGGUCACGCCGAUUUUUUAAUUUUUUUCUUCAAAUUUAAAUAAUUAAAUUUAAAAAUAAUAUCAUUAAAGCAAAUAUUAUUUUUAAAAUUGCAUUUAUUUUAGGGAAAACUUCAAAAACCCCCCUUGUGGUUUCAAUUUUUUUCACUUUAGUACCAUGUGGUUUAAAAUGUAUCAAGUUAGUACCUUGUAGUUUCUCACUUUAUCACUUUAGUACCCUGUGGUUUAAAGUGUGUCAAGUUAGUACCCUGUGGUUUUGCAUUUUAUCACUUUAGUGCCCUGUGGUUUUGAUUUUGUAUCAAAUUAGUACCCUGUGAUUUUUUAAACUAUAGGGUACUAAAGUGAUAAAGUGUGAAACCACAGGGUACUAAAGUGAUAAAGUGCAAAACCACAGGGUACUAACUUGAUACACUUUAAACCACAGGGUACUAAAAUGAAAAAGUGUGAAACCAAAGAGGGGGUUUUUGAAGUUUUUCCUUUAUUUUAUAAAGAACUAAAGGCUUAAAACUCAAAUAAUAUUCUAUUGUUUGAAAUUAAAUUUACAAACUUUUCUUUAUUAACUGAUAGGUGGUAUCUGAGACACUAACUCCUCAGGGAGGUAGAGAUAAAUCAACAGUAAUAACCAUUGGAAAAUUUUUGAUAUUUUUUUUAUAAAUGUUGCAUUUAACUUUGGCACGCAAUGUAACCUCAAUGUUUUAAAAAAUCUAAGUCAAAAAGCGAUCCGAAGAUAUUAUUAAGUCAAAAGUUAUUGAUUUGACCCGUGGUUGAACCAGUAAUGUUAACGUAACGUCAUAAAAUAUUUAAUUAUUUUUUAAUUUUAUUAUAAUAUAUAUUUUUUAUUGUUAUUAUUCUAGUGUCAUAGAUAAUUAUAAAAAAUUUAUUUUUAUAUUAAAUUAACUAAACUAGAUAUAACCAAUCAUCUCUAGAGCAAGUGGUAAAGGGCUUGGUGGUUGGUAUCUAAGACCUAAGUUCGAAUCCUAGUUGAUUCACAUUUUCAGUUAAGUUUAUUUCUAAAUAAAAUAAACGAAGCGGGUAGCGUGCUGCCUAUUUCUCAAAAAAAAAAAAUUUAUUUCUUUGUAAUAAAAAAUAAAAUUAGCAAAAAUUAAUCAUAAAUAAAAUUAAAAAAUACGCUAAUGAACAAAAAAUAAAAAAAAAUAAAAAAAAUAGCUGGUUUGUUUAGAAUCAAACCGAUUCACUAAUUCGCCAGUUGAACCGCUAGUUCAAAUAAUCCACAGCAAGAUUUUCGCUUAUUUAGUGCAAAGAAUUGAAUUGAACUAUUUUAUUAAUUAGGUCACGGUCGAACCUGUCAAACUGACCGAUUCCAUCCAAAUUUUAAAAUAGUGUAAUAUUAUUUGCAUGGGGGGCUUUUUUGCGAAUGAGUAUUAAUUAUAUGGGUUUAUUAGUCAAUGAAAUUGAUUUUAAUAUUCAAUGCUCAAACAUUUGAAAGGCAAAUAAUCAAAACAAAACAAUAGGGAGCUUGUCAACUCAAAAGACUAGUUGAAAAUUACCUCCAAAAAAAAGUAAAAAGAAAAACUAAUGCUUGUUAAAUUAAACAAAAUAAAUUUUUUUGCAAAAACCUAAAUUAUUAGAUAACGAUGUUAUUAAUUUUUUAUAUUCAACAUCACUUUCAUAGGGCCUUCCGUUUCUAUACUAUAUUAAAUUAUAUGAAAUAACUUUUCUUUUUUAACAAAAACUUAAUAUAUAUUAAUAUUUAUAUUCAAUAAUUCUUGAUAAUUAAUUAAUCUUUCCUUUUUUUUUGGCCAAUUUGCAUAAAAAAUUCACUAGUUUUGCGUUUUUGUAAAACUGGGCCAUCUUUUUCAAUUUUACAGAUUCAGAUCGGAUUUUUAGAAAACUAACUAAAAUAUCCUUUUAUUUUUUUUUUCUCUCUCCUCUUUUUUUGCUUGCGUUCUUUUUUUUUUUCUUGGCCGAAGAAGUCGGCGGAGGCGGAGGCGGAGGCGGAGGCGGAAACGGCCCCUCUGCCUCUGCCCCUCACGCACUGUUUCAAAAUUCGUGUAAUGCAUGAGAUAAAUGGUCGAUUAAAUUGUCUCUAAAUUGUCUCUAGAGAGAGAGGCUUUCCAUGUUACUUUUGUUUGCAAAAGAUUAAUUUUAUUUUACUAUUAUCCUAUUAGAAUUUUCUAAUUUUAUUUUUUAGAGUUCACUAUAUAUAUGGCAACUUUGGUAAUAAUUGAUGGAAAAUUAUAGUGUUUCAUGGAUGAAAUGGGACAAAUUUAUAAAAAAGACAAGAAUAAUGAAUUCUAAACUAUAUAUAUGCGUUGAUCUCCCACACUGGUGCCGUUUCGCCUAGAGUCUCCCCCUGCCACCUAGGGAUGCAAAUGGAUCCGAGUUGGUGAAGCUCCCGCCCGAUCCGUCUCGAAUGGAGAUGUAAAUGGAAAUAAAAAAAUGUAGAAAAAUAUAAUCCGUUCCGAAUCCGUCCCGAUCCGCCAAGUAAAUAGAACAGAAGGCGGGAAAUCCUUUUCUUCUUUCAUUCCGCUUCGAUCCAUCAAAAAUCCGCUCUCGCCCCGAUAUGCCCCGAAUGGGACGGUAAGAGAGAGCCAACAAUAAAAUAAAAAAUAAUCCGUCCCAAAUCCGUCCCGCCCCGACAAGAAAUGGAGCGGGAGAUGGGGGAACCCUCCAGCCCCCGAAUCCCCCUAUGUUUGCAUCCCUAAUCCGACCCCCUUUGUCAAACCUACCCUCUUUUAAUAGUUGGGCUGACAAUCAAAUUUACUAUUCGCAAGGCAGCUAGUUCUAGGUCGUUCAUGUUCGGGUUAUUGACAGCCCAACGCUACAGAAAAAAGGGAUAUAUUUGAAGAAAUUUUUUAAAAUCAACAAAUAUAUUUUGGUCACUCAGGGUAAAUUUUUGAAGCUUUGAAAAGUAUAUUAUAUAUUAUUAUCUUUUUUAAUUUAAUUCUUGUUUAGACGUAAGAACAAAUUCUCUUGUUGACGAUAACACAUAAGGUUCAAAAAUAUUUUUCUAUAAAAAGAGUUUGUUUUUUAUUCAUUGAAAAUACUCCACAUCCUGAAUUUAGUAAAAUAGUAUAUUUUAUUUACAAAAUAAUUUAUUUUAUUCGAAAAAUGAGUUAAAACUCAAAUAUGCUAUACCAUUCUAAAUAUUUAAUCAAACUCUUAGCUUCUAAUCACAUUAGAAAAUCGGAAUAGAAUAUCACUCUAUUAGAAAAAAUGUAGGUAUAGAAAAAUCUUAGUCCAUUAAGUUCUAUGAACUGGGUCAGCCCGGGUCGGGCCGGGCUAGGUCGGGCCGGGUUGGGUGUGUUGGGUGGAGAACAAAUCGACUUUGAUUUGCUUAGUUAAUUCCGUUAUAAAAAAUUUAGAAAAAAUAAGUAAAACUACACAGAAUUUAUCUGAACUAUAGACCAUUUUGAAUUGGCUAUCCAAUCUUUCGAAAUUUUGGUUUUACUAUCCAAUCUUGCAAUUUGUUUGAUUUGAGUCAGUCGACAACGAUAUUUUGACUUUAAAAUUUGAAUGCAUCAUUUAUUUUUACAGAUUUAGUUAAUAUCCUUCGUGUAACUCUUCACAACCAUAAAUUUAUUGAAGAAAUUAGUUUAAAUUUAAAAAUCCAAGUAUCGUUGAUUGAUACAAAUCAAACAAAUUAAAAAAUUGGAUAGAAAAAUCAAAAUUUUGAAAGGUUGAGUAGUUGAUUCAAAAAUAGGUCAGAUAAGUUAUAUACAUUUUUUUCAUCCAAAAAUAAAGUAUUAGAAUUUCAUGUUCUUAACUAUAACUUUAUUGGUAAACUGUUAGGAUAAGUGCUUUUAAUUAAAUAGAAUCAUAAUCAAACUUUGAUGGAAAGUCGAUCUAAACUUUAUAUAAAAAGGUAUUGAUUCUGCCAUCUUUUCAUACGCAUUCUGGUGAAGCAAUAUCAUCAGUUCCACGGAAAAAUGUCUGAGAUAGGAGAAGAAACUAAGUUAUCCGAGUUCGGUUGGUGACAUUCAUAUCGGCACCAGAUUUUUUCGCUUCUGCUUAUUAAUUAAGAAUUUAUUCUCUAUGAUGCUCUGUGAGUUAUUUAUUUUAUAUAUGAUUCUGAAUUUUGAUAUAUGUUUAAUUUAUUAUUAUUAUGUUACAUAGCUAUAAAGAUCUAAGAAAUGCCGAGAUUUACUCUUUAAUUUAGCCUAAGUUAUAAAAUUAUCACUAUAAGAAUAAUAACUCCAUAGGCCUAUAUUCCAAAAGAGCUAGAACCGUUUGGUUUGGGUAUAAGUAAGAACUAGCUAUUACAGGGAUAGGUACAAGUAUGGGGAUAAAAAAAAUAGUGUUUGGAUGAAAAUUGGGUUGUUCCCGAGGAUAAGAACAAUUUUAGGUAGUUUUGUAUAGAAAAUGGAGGUGUUGGUGGGGAUAACCGAGAACUACUAUUCCCGGGUAAAAAUUUAGCGUUUGGAUAUAAAGGGGGGAUAAGGGCCUAUUCCUAUCCCUAUCUCCUAACCAAACGCUGCCUAAGGGUCUUGCUAUAUAUAUAUUGAAAUUUCUAUACAGGACGUAAUUAAGGUGGUAUAGGUCUUAAUACAGGGAAAAUAGUAAGAGAGAUGUGUACAUCAUGCACCUAAGGAACAAGGAAGGAAUAGGUUAAAAAAUUCUUUUAAUUAUAUAUAUAUAUAGUAUAAAUUGCCUCGGCUAGCAGUUAAACCUUCGAGAUAGUAGCUUUUGUUGAGCUAUCAUUUUGCGAGGCAAAUGAUAGCUCUCAUAAGAUCGAGUUGAGAGAGAGAGAGAGAGAGAGAGAGAGAGAUAUAUAUAUAUAUAUAUAUAUAUAUAUAUAUAUAUAUAUAUAUAUAUAUAUAUAUAUAUAUAUAUAGAGAGAGAGAGAGAGAGAGAGAGAGUUGAGCUAGAAUACUCUCGAUAGUAAACGGAGCGUUUUACUAUCGAGUUGUUUUCGAUGAUAGAGCUUCCAAAUUGACGAUCGGCUCCGUUAAAUAUGAUAUAUAUAUAUAUUAAUUUUCUUAAAAAAUUGGAUAAGGAAGGAACAAGGAAUCCACGUACUACAUGUGUAGAGAGAAUGAUAAAAGGGACAUAAUUCUGGAUAUGGUGGAAUUAAUGCAGGACAUAUCUUUAAAGUAGCAAAAAAAAAAAAAAAGAAAAAAAAAAAAGAAAAAAAAAGGUCCAGUUAUUAUUAUUAAAUUUUAUGAUUUAUUAGAUUUUCAAUCAUAAUUUUUUUGCAUUUGGGAUUUAAUGACUUCCCCGAUUUAUCUCUUGACGCCCUUGUCGGCGUGUUUGGUUCGAAGUCGAAAUCAGAAUCAGAAUCGAAAUCAAACUAAGCUGGAAUCGGAAUCGAAAUAACUCAUUAUUUAAUUCUAUUUGAUUCAUCACCUGAAUUAGAAUCGGAAUAAAUCAUUCCCAUUGUCUGGUGUUUGGUUCAAGUAAAUAUAAAAAACGUAAUCAGAUUAAUAUAUUAACUUUAUCUUUAUAGUAUAUUAAUUUAAAUUUAAAUAAAAAAUUAAAUAUUAAAAAUUUACAUCAAAAUUCUGAAAUAAUGUCAAAUUUUAAAUCUAUUUUUUAAAAAAAAUUAAACUUUGAAGUUGAAUGGAUAAUUCGAAAUAUAAAACUAAAUUUCGAUUUAUUCAAAUUCAAAGUUAAAAUUACAAUUUAAAUUUUAAUUUGAAUCCAUAAAUUUAAUUUAAAUUCAAAUUCAUAAGUUAGAUUCAAAAUACUUGAUUAAAUUUUAAUUUUUAAUUCAAGUUCAAAUUCAAAUUUAAAAUUUAAAAUUUAAUUUCUAAAUUUAAACUCAUAUUUUAAUUUAAAAAAUUUUAAAAAAUAAAUUUAAUCUGAAUAAAUAUCCAUUACGUCCGGAUUCAACUUCCAAUCCGGUCUCCUAGGCCGGAUUAGAAAAAGAGGUGAUAAGGGGAUUCUCAUUCCACUCGGGAAUCGAAAUUGGAAUAAACCUACAAACGAAUUCGCCCAUUCCAAUUUCGAUUUCGGAGUGAAAAAGAAGCGAACCAAACACGCCCACAGAGUCCAAAAUCAUCAGAUGACGACGUGUCGGGUUAUUAUACUUUUAUUUAAAGGUUGUUUAUCUCUCUCUAACUAAUUUGCACGCUAAAAUUAUUUUUUCGGACAAAAAAAUGUUAGGUAAUUCUUUUUUUUUCAACUGAUGUUUGUUUUAUAGGAAGUCAAUGACUUAGUUAUUUCCCUCUCUUGGUUUGUUUAAUUUUCUAAAAAUUUUCACACUAAUAUACAAGAGGGUGAAACAAGUUAUAGUAGUCAAUUUUUUAUCAAUUUUCUAUCUUGUUUUCUUAUUUAAUUGACUUCGUCGUUAUCCAUAGAAAAGUCAGUUACAGUAUUUUGAAAAAAAGAAGAAGUUACAAACGAAUUUUAUUUACAACAAAUCAAACAAUAUAAGUGAGCAUUUACGUCUGAAAAUAGCUUGAAAUAAAUAUGUCUUUGGUGUUUUUAAAAUUGUCAACAGAAAAGAUAUAUUUAUAUAUUGGCUAAAUUACAGAAAACUCUUAUGUCAAUACUUAUUUUUUCACUUUCCCACCUUUCAUUCAAAAACCUACACUUUGAUUUCUUGAAAAAUGAAAAAUGUUCACUUCGGUCCCAACCGUCAGUAUUCCGUUAGGGUUUCGUUUAUAUUUUAUUUUUUAUACCCAAAAUAUUCCUAAAAUCCUCAUUCAUGCCUGCACACAUGCCCUCAGCCACCGCCUCACCCUUCGCCGCCGCUUCGCCCUCCGCCGCCUCGCCCUCGCCCACCCCUCUGUCCAUACUUAGAUACAGGCCCUCGCCCUCCUUUGCCGCCGGAAUAAGUAAGAAUGGGAAGCGGGAGAUGAAAAAGAUAAGAACAAUUUAGUCAUUCUGUCUCACUGUAUCCAUCUGUGUUUUACUUUUCAAGAGAGUAAAGUGUAGGUUUUUGAAUGAUAGAAAAAAGGUAAAAAAGAGAGUAUUGAUAAGAGGCUUUUAUGUAAUUUAGCCUUAUAUAUUAGGCAAUUUUGAAGAGAUAUAUUUGAUUACUAAAUCUUCAUAGAGAUGUAUAAAAUUUCUUAACGUUAUAGGGAUGCAUAUGCAAUUAAUCUAAUUAUUUAAUAUUUAGUACUUAAUUGUACAUGUGUGUGCCAUUAUUAAAUUAACUUAGCAUAUAUACCUUGUCUUGUACUUUAAUUUUGAGAUAAACUUAGCUGAUGAGUAAUGCUGUGCCGACAUAUCUUAGGUGUUGGUAAAACAAGGAGAGAAACAAAUUCACAAUAAGAUGAGAUAGUUGAAAUAUUGGCCGAAAGGGAUCAAGAUUCUUUAACUCUACGAUAAGAGGUCAGGUCGAGCCGAGUCACGUUCAAAUGACAAGAGGUCGGGUUUGGCCGAGGCAUCUUCAAAGUGGGGGGAGGCCAGGUAAACCAAGUCGCAAUCGAGGCUGAUGGAUACUGUGUCUGUACACUUUAAAUAAAUUUAUUGUAUCUUUUUAACAGCUCAAACUUAUAUAAUUAAUGGUUAGUGCCACUAAUCAUACAUGAAAGUUAUGGUAGAGUGCGUGUUGUGGAUCGAAGGCACUAAUUGUCAAUUCCAAAAGUUCAAGCUAAAAAAAAGAGCAUAAUCAAUUUACUUAAAGUGUAUAGACAUACUCCACUAUAAAACAGAAUACUGAUCCAUUUAAGUCAAUAUAUGUCACACGUAAAAUUCACAAUGGUGAGAAUUGAAAUGCAUACAUAUAAAAUGUUGUGAGUAUAUUAUUUUUUAAACAACAAAAUCCUAUGUGGAGACUCCUCCAUUAUGGGCCAUUUUGAAUUGGCCGCCGCCUCAACUUAAAUUUCGAUUCUUUAGAGUUAAUUUAGAAAUUUUAGUAAAUUCAUGAGGAGCCGUUGUAUCGCUGGAAGUAAUCAUCGGAAAGUCUCGCAUAUGGAGAGACAAUUUCGCUUAUAGAACAGUGCUCUGCGUACACCUCGAUCUACAAACCUUUUAUAAUCCUUUUCUUUACAUUAUUUAUUAUUUAAUUUCUUUUCGAAUUUUUCUAAAACUAAAAUUAAACUUUCGAAUUAUUUUUAAAAACUAUUUUAAUAAAAGAUUAGAAAGAUUUUCCAACAAAAACAUUAAUCUCAUCUAAGACCCACCAAAUUAAAGAAAAACUUAUUCUAUUUGGAGUGAACUCUACAUCUAGAUGGAUUUUCUCUUUAGGAGAUGAUUUAGAAUUAGUUCAAAUUUUAAUUUUAUCGGUAAAUUAUUUUAGUCGUGUCAAAUGGUUCGUAGAUAUCAGGAGGAUCAACAAGAAAAAGAACUAAGUAGAGCGAGAGAAUCAACUCAUUUUUAUUUUUUAUUUAACAUAAAAGGCUCAUAGGCAACUUCAUUGAAGUAUUAAAAAAAUGCGCAACAAAGUUAAUUACGAUAGUUAAUUACUUUAAUAUGAAAGUUUUCUACUAAUCUCAAACUCAUUUUAAGAUUAGUUCAUGUUCUACCAAAUAAGAAAAAAGAAGAGUGAAAAGAGAGAGAGGGAGAUCACAUAUUAUGAACAUAGUUCAAAUUCAUCCAAAAUUUUCGAGCAAUGCUGAUAGGUAACAUGUUAUCCGUUUCGUUUAUUUCUUUUAGAAAUAAACUUAGCUGGAAAUAUGAAUCUACUAUGAUUCGAAUACCGUAGCAUUUUGAUACGUAACUUUUCUCCUUCUUUUUAAUAUUGUAUUAGAGCCAGAUAGCUCCUGCGUCGCGGAGCAGGGGAACGAGCUUGCCGCCGAGAUGGAGGGACAUGACCUUCUCGGUAGGCCCGACUAGGGUGCCGCCAAUGAAGACAGCGGGCACGGGCGGUGUCCGCCCUAGCAUCUUCACAAGGGCUCGCUCCAUCUCGGCCCCCCUGGGGUUCUCGUCGAGCUCGUGGAUCGCCGGGCUCACGCCGAGCUCGCGGAAGAGCCUCUUCACGGUGUGGCACAUGCAGCAGGAGCUUUUGCUGAAGAUCACAACUGCGUUUUGCGAAGCCAAUUUUGUAACCCUGUCCAUGAUGAGCUCUUGAAAAACUGCUUUUUGGAGAAGUGAGAAUUGUGAUGCAAGUGUUUGUGCAGGGGCUCAGAUUCAAGAAGAGUGGAACAAUAUUUUGAAGUGGCUUGAGAGAGUGUAGAUAAUGUGGGAGUUGGUAUGUGAGAGAUUGAACUAAGGUAGUGAAUUUUGGGAUGUGUUGGAGUUUAAGCUAAUUAACUAGAGUGGGGUUAUUUAUAGAGCAACAAAAAGGUAGUGCAAGAGAAUUUUAAUUCUAUUGGGGAAAAUUUUUCAAUGGGUUAUAUUCUCUAAUAAGAAAGAUAUUUUGAUUUUCCCAAAAUGCCCCUCUGAUCAUUGGUUUGAUGGAGACCCAAGUUCAAUUAUCACUCAUUACUAUCCUAAUUAUUUUGAGUUGGACUAAUCUCAAUUUUCAAGUUCAAGCAGUGUCCAACCCUAAAAAACCCAAAAGUAAAAUAUUUACGAAAUUGCUUUUUAUGUACAAGUUUAGAUUAUUAGCAUAAAUUGUUGGCUUAAAUGGAUUAGUAUUUUGACCUGUGGCGGAAGGCCAUGUUGGACCGAGUCAUAUUCGAAAUGGCGUGAUGCUGGGUGGGUCGAGUCAUGUUCGAAGUGGCGUGAGGCUGGUUGGGUCGAGUCACAAUCGAGACCCAUGGACGCUGCAUCUGUACUCUUUAAGUGAAUUGGUUGGGUUAUUUCUAACAGCUCGAACUUCUGGAAUUAAUAGUUAGCGCCAACGAUCCGACACAAAUAAUUUGCUUAGCGCUUGUUUGGACUAGUUCUGGUCAACUCCUUUGCUCCAAAUGCAGCAACUAAGUUUUUGAUACCUAAAAAGUUUAAAACUUGGGCUUUUUUUGCAAAUAGCCCCGUGACAACUUUUAUUUGCAAAAAUAGUCCCAUCCAAAAAUUAUUUGCAAAAAUGGCCCUGCCCCUGCCACGCCAGCGCCACGUCAGCGCCACGCGGGCAGGGGGGGCCCAGGUGUUUAAGUUGAACACGGUGAACCAUUCACUGUGUCCAAUACAAAAUUCACCGUGUCAAUACAAAAUUUUUGUAUUGGACACGGUGAAUGGUUCACCGUGUCUAAUACAAAUACCCCAACAAUGACUAAGUUGGAGGUAUUUGUAUUAGACACGGUGAACCAUUCACCGUGUCCAAUACAAAUACCGCGUCCAAUUAUUUGUAUUGGACACGGUGAAUGGUUCACCGUAUCCAAUACAAAUAUUUCGAUCUUAGCUAUUUUGUAUUGGACACGGUGAAUCAAAAAUUUUGUAUUAAACACGGUGAAUGGUUCACCGUGUUCAACUUAACCAUCUGGCCCAGCCCCGCCCGCGUGGCGCUGACGUGGCGCUUGCGUGGCGGGGCGAGGGCCAUUUUUGCAAAUAAAUUUUUGACAGGGCCAAUUUAAAAAAAAAAAAUUUGUAAGGGGGCUAUUUGCAAAAAAAGCCCUUAAAACUUUUGUUGUAUCAGAAGAUAAAAGUUAAAUUUUACAUAGUUUAAUACUUCUUCCAUCCCCCCCUCCCAACAAAAAAAAAAAAAACUUUUACUUAAACAGUGUUUUCCAUAAAAACUUUAGUCCGUUCGAACCGACAAUUAGCCAUUUUGCAUUAUUUAUAUUUCAUUCAUGAUAAUAACUAAUAAAAGUUCGCAUUUAAAGAAUAGUUGAUCAUAUAAAAUAAUAAUCCGAAUUGUAAAGAAUUUAAGAUAUUGAACCCAAAUCUACAUACUAAAGCUUCUGAAUUAAAGGUUUCACUAAGUAUCAUAUCCACAGAUUAAAAAUUUAGAAUAUCUUAAUACACUAAAUUAGGAGGUCGGUGUUAGAAUCUAGAAGUAGAGUUGGGAGGGGAAAAGGCCACCCCACCACCACUCACAGUUUUUGAUGCAAGAAAUUAAUGUCCUUACCCUUUUGUGUAGUUGAUAAGAUUUGGAUCCUUUGCUAAAAUGGAAGGGAGAAGGAUUUGUAAAAUAGGGGGCCAUGAAAUUACAUGAAAGUGUUUCUUAAUCUCCCAAUAUAUGCUUUCUAAGUUUAUGUUUCUCACCUAAAUUGACAAGGCAUUAAACUUGGUUAACAAGCAUGCCAUUUGGAAGGAGAUGAUUGGAUGAGUUUGAUGAUGUGGUGGGCCAUGACAAGGAGGAAGUUUAUAGUGUCGUAUUUGCACCACAUCAUCAGUAACAAGCUAAUUAUAUUUAUCAUAUUUGUUACGACAUAGGCACAAACGGAAACGAAAAUGACGAAUACGAAAUAAUCAAACCACGUAGCAGAAAUAAAAGAGAACACACAGAUUUACGUGAAAAACCUUUUUGUAAGAAAAAAUCACGAACAAGAAAGAAGAGAACUUCACUAUCGAAAAAGAGAAAAUACAAUGUUCGAGUACAACCAACUACGAUCUGUCGCCUCUAGGGCAAAAACGAAAAGGAAACUCUUAACAGGUUUCGGAUCUGUCGGCCCGAGCCCUCCGCUACCCACCACAGACAUUCGUUUUUCCUUCACAAUUUUAUUUUCUAAUUUGGUCGCACCGCGAAACUGUCGGCGAGUCCAAAUUUCGAACUGAAGUCGAUUAUCAAUUUCGAGUCACAUCUAACGAUAUUUCUCUUUUUCUUAAAAAAAGUACAAUAAAAAUAUUUUGUUUAUUUACAAUGAUGAGACGGGUGAACUUAAGGGCGAUAAUUCUAUUGGUUGGAGACGCCACGUCAGCAAUAUAACUAAUACAUUCUAGAAUUUUUCCAUGACAAGGACAUAAGAAAGAGAAAUUAUUGCAUGCGCCGCAGUCUAUACACCAGAGUCUACAAAACACAAACCUCAAAGCUCUAAAAUCUAAUUAUAGAUCAUUAGUGAUGAUCUUUAUCCUCUUAAAUAGUUAACGUAAGAAAAGUCAUAACUUUUGAAAAUUUACUAUCCAGACUACGCAGAAUCGAUAAUGUUAACAAAUUUAUUAUCUAUUAGAUUAAAAUAAGAUUAUAAAAGAAUCAUGAUUUUUAAGACAUAGACUUAUAAAUGUCAUAAAUUAUUUAUUCUAUUCUUUGGCUAUUUUAUAUCAAAUUGAUCUUUUAAAUAUAACAUGAUUUCAAAGUAUACUCCUCCCCUAUUCUCUCUCUCUCUCUCUCUCUCUCUCUCUCUCUCUCUCUCUCUCUCUCUCUCUCUCUCUCCACCAUGUAGGUAAGUGAAGAUGUUAAGAUUUUCUACAUUGUUUCUUUUCAUAUUGAUCUUUUAUAUAAUAUAUAACACAUCUAACGACUCAUAUUAAGAUCUUACGUGAUCCCUAAAUAUGAAUUUUGCAGACGUCGAUCAGUGUAUAGACCGCAGUGCAUGCAAUAAAUAAUUUAAAAAAAAACAUGGAGAAGAACAUUAAGGAUGCAUGGGACAUAGCUAUAGGCAAGGGGGAACCAAUUAGCACAUAGUUUGUCCCUCAAAACUAAUUGGAUUAAGUUGAGCUAAUGGUUUAAUACAAAACAAGAUAAAAAGAAACUUAAAAAAAAAAUCUCACACCUAGCUAUAGCUAGACCAUUGCAUUACACAUGAUUCUCUAGCAUUGAGACAUCAGAGAAUUGGUGUCCCCUAAGUGCCCAAAUUCUCUUCCUUUUUAGAAGUAAAUGGCUCGCAAAAAAUAGAAAAGAGAGAUACGAUUCGAAAACGCAAAGUUUAGGCCUUAUUUGGUAUCGUGUUUUAUAAGGAUAAAUCUAGAGAGGCAGCCUUCGAACUGUAUCCAAGGGCUUUUUUUGCAAAUAGCCCCUUACAAAAAAUUUUUUAAAAUUUGGCCCUGUCAAAAAUUUAUUUACAAAAAUGGCCCUGGCCCCGCCACGCAAGCGCCACGCGGGCGGGGCUGGGCCAGAUGGUUAAGUUGAACACGGUGAAUCAUUCACCGUGUUCAAUACAAAGUUUUUGUAUUGAACACGGUGAAUGAUUCACCGUGUCCAAUACAAAAUAGCUAUUUGUAUUGGACACGGUGAACCAUUCACCGUGUCCAAUACAAAUAAUUGGACACGGUGAAUGGUUCACCGUAUCUAAUACAAAUACCUCCAACUUAGCCAUUGUUGGGGUAUUUGUAUUGGACACGGUGAACCAUUCACCGUGUCCAAUACAAAAAUCUUGUAUUGAACACGGUGAAUGGUUCACCGUGUUCAACUUAAACAUUUGGGCCCGCCCUGCCCGCGUGGCGCUGACGUGGCGCUGGCGUGACAGGGGCAGGGCCAUUUUUGCAAAUAAUUUUUGGACGGGGCUAUUUUUACAAAUAAAAUUUGUCAGGGGGCUAUUUGUAAAAAAAGCCCUGUAUCCAAUUAUUCCAAAAUUAAAAUAACAACUACUGUGUAACAAAGGGCUAUAUUUUGAACCAUAUGAAAAGAAUCUGAACCCUUUAGACACACGAGACUAAACGGAUUUAAUUAGAAUUGACUCUGAUAAUAUAUUAAUUAAGUUCGGAACUUUGACUAGUUAUGUUUAAACAAAUCAAAAGGGUUAGAAAGAGAAAUACUUUGCAUCCUCCUUCACAAGAUAUAGGCAUAGAGGUAUAUAUUCUUUAAUUUCAAAAAGAGUCCAACAAAUUAACAAAGAUAUUGAUCACACUUGCAUAACAAAAACUACAUCUGAACCAUGUCAUGUAAUGUGUCAAGUUGUCAAUUCCCUAAUAAUUAAUAUUCUAAUUCUAAAUAAUCUAACUGCUAUGUAUUCUUACCUAUGGAAUAUAUUAUUCCAUCAAUCCCAGGUCAUCACACAAGAAGGAUUGCAAAGAAUAUGUUUAUUGGAUUUACUUUAGUCAUUAACUUAUACACAAUUACAAAUAGUAAAUUUGUUGAAAACAGAAAGAUAAAUGCUUCUGGAUCCUACAGAAACCGUCCCCUGUGUGUUGUUGAUGUACUGGCAAUCCUACGUAGGAUGUUGAAUUACGUAUAUAUACCAAUCAAAACCCCUCAAUAUUAUAUAUAUAUAUACCAACACAUAGGUAUUUUUGAGAGAAGUAGGGUUUUAGGUUGCACAUACUACGUAAAGUACUCACAUAUAAUAGGGUGAAUUGCACGUUUGAUUCUCAUAUAUAGUUUAAUUUAUUAUAAUUUUUUACUUGAAUUCUUAGAAUUGUUAUAAUCAAAUCCUGCAACAUAAUUUAUUUGACUAAAUAUUAAUGUCUCACUAAUGUAUAAGUGAUGUAAUAGUGUUAUGAUGAUGCGCUAAUAGUUAAGAUGAUAUAUUGCUUUUACAUCAACUAUCAAUGUUUGCCAAUUAAAUUUAGUUGUGAAAUUUGAUUGCAACAAUUUUGAAAAUUUGAACUAAAAAUUCCAACAAAUUAAUGUAUGAGAACUUAAAGUGACACUUGCCUCUUAGUUUGAAAGGGUUUUUAUUUAUUUACCUCUUACUGAAAUUUGAAACUUUUAAAUUUACCUUAAAUUAUCAAAAUACCCUACUAAAGUCCAAUCGCAUUAGUAAAUCUUAGGAGAAAUGAGGAUAUUUGAAGGAACUUUAUAAAAUAAAUAAGAGUAUUUUGAUCAUUUAGAGAUAAAUAUGAUAUUUUUAAAGUUUUGAAAGGUAUAUUAGAUAUUAUCCCUAGUUUGAAAACCACACUUGCAAAUUACCCAAUAUAUAAUAAUAAUAUAUAUGGUAUUACAUCAGUGAUUUCAUAUGGGUUUUGAUUGGGGAUGUCAAUGGGUUGCAAUCUGCACGGAUUUUCAAAAAUCUGAACACGAAUCCGACUAUCAAACCUAAAAUUCGAACUUGAACUCAAAUCCGACAUAUUUUAAAAAUUCAUAUCCAAAUCUGAACCCGACAAAAAAACUGAAACCCGAAGUCUAACCCGAAUACACGCACGCAUGCGCACACAUGUAUAUUAAUGUAAAAUCAAUUUGGGUUUAGGUCGGAUUCGGGCUCGGAUCAGAUACAAUCAAAAUUCAUAUCCAAAUCUAAAUCCGCUAAGUUUUAAUUUUUGAUAUCCAUAUCUGAAACAGUAUCCAUUUCGAUAGAAUAAAUUCUCUCUGUUUGAAUUUGAAUUCGGGUAAAAUUUCGGAUAUCCGUACCCUUGACAUUCCUAGUUUUGAUUCGGAAUUUGUUCCACCAUUCAUGCUACCAUUUACCAUUCCCUUUUAUUUUGUCAAUGCACCUUUACUUAAGCCAGAACAAUGGCUUUUUACAGAAUCAAUGCUUUGCACAAAAAAGAAUUUUCUAGUGACUCUCCUAAGAAAAGAAUAAUCAAGGACCUGGUUAAAAAACCAGUGAUCAAUAUCAACUUAUAUCAUAUUCAUAUUAAAAUUAUAUCUUCUGUCAUGAUUUUUUAUUUUUAAAAACAAUUUACUGAUGGAGGUUUUUUCUUGUGAUUCAUCCUCGUUUACGAUUUGAGAGAACGGAAUGUUUUCACUCUAUUCUUUUAUCUCCGAGGAUGGAGCCAUCACAAGAACAAAAUUGGAUCAGGGUUAGAUGGAGACGCUCAUUCCAUUUAUAUAUAUGAGUAGUGCUACCGUGCUAUCGAAAGUAUAGAGAAUUUGGUGCUUUCGACUUUUUAGUCCUUAAAUCAACCCUUUUGAUUAUUUCUAAUAUUUGGAUUAAUACUAUUAUCCUGUGGGGACCACUCAACUCUGGGGGACCGCAAUCAUCCCAAACAUACAAUUUUUGAUCAAAGGGUCAAAAAAUCGGAAGCAUCAAAUUCUCUAUACUUCCGAUAGUAUAAUAACUCUAUACUAUAUCUAUAAAACUAUAUGAAGCCAGAAUAAUUCUUACCACGUGGCAAGUUAUCUUUCAUCCCUCUUUGAAAGAACAAAAUGAGAAAUUUAAUAAUUAAUAACUGAUAUAAAUAUAUAAUCAUAAUAAUAACUAUAGUUUAAUAGAUAUAGUAUACAUAUAAUUAACCUAAUAUUGUCAAUAAUCUUUUUGGCUUCCAUGAUUAGUAACCGGUAGUAAUCGAAAGUAAUUAACUUCAUUCUCUACUUUAAACAAAUAAAAAUUUCUAAAUUAAUGCACAUUUAAUUUGACCGUUUUUUUUUCUAAGGGUGGAAUCUUUAAAUAAAGUUAUCAAUAAUAUUUUUUUUAGUUUGGCAGUUCAUCUAAUAGAAAUUAAAUAAGAAAAUUAAAUUCAUCAUUUACUCUUUUCUAUAUUGUCUUUUCAUAGAUAACGUUAUAAAAAUUUACAAUUAUAAGCACACUAUAAAUAUUGGUUAGAGUAGAGUGAAAAUUUGUUAGGUUUUUGUCAAUAAUAUUAUUUCUUUUCUUGCUUUCCCAAUUAGAUUACCUUAUUCUCCUUUUCUUUUUUUUGUCAUGCAUUCAUAGCGUCCCAGUUUUUUAUUUUUUUAGCCAAUUCACAUCAUUAUCCUUCAUGAAAAAAAUAGAUUUAUCUGAUCAAAUUAAUAUAUUCAUUUGAUUAGAGAAUAAGAUAAUUAAUUAAAAACUUAGUGUAAGUUAACAAUUGGUUUUUUUUUCUUUGUAUUUUUCUAUUAAUUUUUAAUACACAAUGCCACCAAGAUUGAUAUGUUCAUCCAUAGAUAAUUUAUUAUUACACAUAUAUGAUAUAGUACAUAUUUUAUAUAGGCAGAAAAUAAUUCCCUGUAUAAUUUGAUACACUUAGGGCCCGUUUGGAUUGGUAUAAAUUAAAAUUUUUAAAUUUGCGAAAAUACUACAAAUUAUUUAUUAAAAUUUGUAUAAAUUAAAAUAUUUAAAUUUGAUAAAAUAUUAUUUACCCCCGCAAAGCGCGGGCCCUACACUAGUAUAUAUAUAUUAUAUAUAUAUUAUAUAACUCAUAUAAAUAUUUAAUCACGUCGCGCCCCUCAAAACAUGUCAAAUAACCCCCAAACGUUGAAUCAAUUGUAUCCUUAGCCUCCGUUUGGUUGGGGGUUAAGGGGUGAAUAACCCUUACCCCCAUUUUAUCCCCAAAUAUUUCUAAAAAUGAGUCGAGUUAGCUAACCCCAUCUCAAAUGGGUUAUCCCGGAUUAGUUAACCCCACCAAACUCCAACCAAAUAUUAUUUUCUAUUCAUAAUAACUCACUAUCCUUCUUAUCCCACCUACUUUAACCAAACAAUAUUUUUCACUAUCCUAGACUAACUCCAACCCUCAACCAAACACAAAAAUAUUCUAACCCCAUCUUAACCCUAAACUUAAUCCUAUCUUUGGAAUAACUAGUUUUUCCUUAACCCCGAACCAAACGGUAGCUUAUAGAUCACUUUAAAUAAAUCACGUAGGCCAUAUCUAACACAACAUCAUCAAAAACGCCAGCGGAGAACGCGCACUGGGCCUCACUUCUACAAGGCCUUGCCGGCUGGGCCGGGCCCUUCGCCCGCCAGCGGCACGUGGCGGCCCCCUCCGCGGACUCUCUUUUUUUUUUUUUUUUUUUUUUUUUUUUUAAAAAAAAUUUUUUUUUUUUUUUUUUUUUUUUUUUUUUUUUUUUUUUUUUCUGAUGCACAGAGCAAAAAAUUAAAAAGUACAACAUAUAUAAAAUAAAAAAUUAAUACAAGAAGGAAAAAAACACAGUAAAUGUAAAAAAAAAAAAAAAACUUUUCACACGGCUUAUGAUCAACUUAAAAGAAAACUAAAACUAAUUAAAUUUUUUUUUAAUCAAUUCCAUAUAGAAAAUGAAUAAAAAAAAAAUCAAACAAAUCUAUAUAAAAAGGAGAUCACUGAAGCAUGCAUACAAAACAAGCAUCACAGGCAUAAGACAAAAAUAAAAAAAAAACGACUUUAAUACCAAUUGUUGAAAUUUAAAGGAUAGCAAAAAAACUUACAAACUGGAUAGACAAUGUAUUCAGAAAUAAAAAUGAUUGCUUGUUUUACUAGCUUUUUUGAAUCAUCCUUAUCUUGAUAGUUUUGAAUUUUCCACGAAUCUCGUCUUCUCCCACGCAUUACGAAUAUCUUCUCCCACGCAUUGUGCAUUGUCGGAUGCAAGGAGGACUACCAGAAUACUCUUCUAUAUCCACAAUCUAAAAUUUCGGGAUCCUUCUUUUAUGUCCACACUCCAAAAUUCUAGAAUCCUAGAGAGAAAUAAGAUUAGGAGGACGAAAGAACCAAUUCCAGAGAAAGGGGACUGAUAGAUAAAAAAAACUUGACAUCCCAAAUAUGCUGAAUGGAAAGUGCUACCAGUAUACCUAUAUGAAGAUAUCAUGUCCAAAAAAAAAACAUAAGGGAAGCAGAUAUCUUACCACCUUUCUCUCUCCAAAAAAUAAAAAAAUAAAAAUUGUAGGUUGGAUGUGAGAUCAAUAUUUAGAAUGGAUAUUAUUGUUGAUUUUCAAUUUUUUUAAAAAGUAAAACACCAUAUAAGUAAAACUAAUCUAUUCUACUAAGGCUUCGUUUGGGAUUGGGAUUGCGAAGAGAUCGCCGAUGAUAGAAAAAUACCCUGUUUGUUUCCGUACGUAAUAUUGCGUUCCGCAUAUUGCGGUUAGUCGGUUACAAUAUAUUUUCUACGAUCCCAUCGGAGAACGCAGAAGCAUAUAUCUAUAUGUUUUUUCUCAACUCCAUUCUAUAUAAUAGCGUUAGAUCCGCCUCAAUACCAAACUAAGCCUAAAUCCCUAACGUUCAGACCUUUCAAGAAGUAAAAAAAUAAAUUUUUAGCUUUUAAUCACAAAAAAAUAAAAUUCAUACUUAAUAACUUAUUCUGAUGAUAUCGGAAUAGAACUGUAGCACAUAAAUUAUUAGUAAAUAAUUUAUUAAUAAAAUAUAUGAAAUUUACCUGAAUUAUGAACUAUUUUUUAUUAGAUUAUUCAUUUUUUACAAAAAAACCAUUAGGCAUAAAGUGUACAUAGAAAUCCAAACCGCAACUCUAUCCCCAAUUCUCUACAUGGAGAGAUUUUUAUAUACACCAGUCACACCACAUCAUCUAUUAACAGCCAAUUAUAUUUCUUAGUUUGAUUAAAAGUAUAAUAAAAAUAUUUUUUUACAGCUGUGAUGAAACUAGUGAAUCCAAAGUGAUUAAUCUGAUUAGUUGAUGAUGCCACAUCAGCAAUAUGACUGAUACAUUCUAGAUUUUUUGUCCUUUACAUAGAGCAAAUGCCAAAAGU